rnacentral:rRNA from 1 species
UACGAAGGGGGCUAGCGUUGCUCGGAAUUACUGGGCGUAAAGCGCACGUAGGCGGCUCUUUAAGUCGGGGGUGAAAUCCUGGAGCUCAACUCCAGAACUGCCUUUGAUACUGGCGAUCUUGAGUCCGGGAGAGGUGAGUGGAACUGCGAGUGUAGAGGUGAAAUUCGUAGAUAUUCGCAAGAACACCAGUGGCGAAGGCGGCUCACUGGCCCGGUACUGACGCUGAGGUGCAAAAGCGUGGGGAGCAAACAGG